AAAAAUGUAGCAUAACUAUAAUGCAUUUCACUUACACUGAAAAAAUACUUGCUAAAAGUCGUUUUUA
rnacentral:tRNA from 1 species